UACAGAGGUCCCAAGCGUUGUUCGGAUUCAUUGGGCGUAAAGGGUGCGUAGGCGGCGCGGUAAGUCGGGUGUGAAAUCUCGGAGCUUAACUCCGAAACUGCAUUCGAUACUGCCGUGCUUGAGGACUGGAGAGGAGACUGGAAUUUACGGUGUAGCGGUGAAAUGCGUAGAUAUCAGGAGGAACACCGAUGGCGAAGGCAGGUCUCUGGGCAUUAACUGACGCUGAGGAGCGAAAGCAUGGGGAGCGAACAGG
rnacentral:rRNA from 1 species